UAGAUAAACUGUUUCUGCAAGCUGUA
rnacentral:sRNA from 1 species